rnacentral:lncRNA from 1 species
AGCUUGUCCACCGAAAUCUCUGAUAACUACAUCCUGGAAUCUCUGCAGAGGAUCAUCUCGGAGAGAAGUGACUUCUACAAUCAGCUGAAGCAGAAGGGCGUGAAGGUGCCCCCGCUACAACAGUCAGAUGUCUCCCUGCCCGGCAAGAUCAAGAAGAUGCUGUCCAAGUGAUACGGCACACCCAGCGGAGGCCAGGGCCCUGCUGGCAAAGCCAGCCUGUGUGGUUAGUUCUGUGAUAGAGAAUUAAACGUUAGAGUUGCCACC